UAUGGAGUUUAUUAACAUAUGUAUAGGUUUGCGCGUGUUUAUACGAAUGCAUGAUUUGGUAUCUUACUGAACUUAAACUUGAGUGGGAUUUCAAGAAGUCUUUCAUUAAUCUACCAAUUCCUGUAAGCCAUGAGCUAAUUCCCGUAAAUCCUAUUUCUAUUUCAGUUUCCUUAUUACUGGCACAUGGGAAGUUAUUAGCACGGAAUUCCCCUAUGUGGAAAACUCUGAAGUCUCUAAACAGUAAAUGCGCCAGUCGCUCGUCGGAGAAGGCAGUGAGACGGAUGCGCGUGUAGUCAGCUCCCGGAAAGGAAAAUAUGUGUGGGUGCACAUGUCUGCUACAGUGGUGGAAUUGACACUAAUUAAAGACAUCCAUCAGAUUAUGACAGUGUUGCCAGGCAGCAAUGCAUCGUGGGACCUCACCAGUGCAUCCAAGACAGCAAUCAAAGACGCUGAUGAUGUUCCGCAGCAAGAUUCAUCUUGUUUCUGUUGAUUCACUGACAAACUAUGUGUGGGAUAAACCGAGACACACAAUGUCAUAUGUUUUUAAAUCAUUACGUUUCCGUCAAUAAAGUUGCUUAAAGUCGUCGCCUGCAGUCAGCUGCAAGUCGAAGCGUUUCAUUUUACGAAUCCUUCAUUUACAUUAAGGUUGCACAUCAAGCACUGCAGCAAGUGCAUUAAGGACUUCGGGUGUUUGUUGUGGCUACAAUGACGUUCUUACUGCUUGAGGAAUGCAGUCAAGUAUUUCAUGCAUGCUGGACAGGAUUUAUUUACUGUCCUUUUAGACACCUGCACCCAACUAGACCAAAUCACUUCCUUCUUACGGGAAAUUGUUUACUGGUAAAAUGGAAAAAAGCUAAUCAAGCAUGAUUCAGGCCUUCUAGGAUCUUGGAGCAAAGAUAAAGCUGUCUUAGAAAAAUACAAAGGUGGCAGCUUUUGUGAGUAAAUCAUAGUGUGAGAAUAAGAAAAGAGUUAUAUAAAUGUUAAAGAAAAUACUCCUCAGGAUUAGCGAGUUUUAAUUUAAAAAAAUUUUUUUUUGCAAUUAGUUUUUCAGGCUGAUGUCUUAGAGUACAAUGAAAAAUAUCAACAAGCGUAGUGGGGGAGUUUCAAAGUGUUGCACUCAAGGCCUUUGCAAAAAAAGUGCAUAAAAUGCAAGAUCUUGUUCUUACAAUACUGCAUGUGGCUUAAUGUGCUUAAAGUGUGCUGUUGAAAUCUGCCUCGUAAAAAGGGGUAGGUUAGUCACUAGAAGUAAUUAAUCACGUUCUUCUUAAAAAAAUAUUUCCACACCUGUCAGAUCUGCGGGGAGAUAGUGGCUUUUUCUCUGUGUUGUCGUUUACCUGAUUUGGAUCAUCAAAGGUCCACACCAGUGUUUUUGCUUGUUUUAGCUCACUUCACAGCAUGCACUGUAUGCUGACCUUGAUAGAUUUGCUUUAUUGUACGAUAUGCAUAUUUUUGGCAUCACAUCACUGAAGUAUAAAGCGUCCGUGGGAAAGCUAAGGGAACACUGUGAUCCUUUUGCUGAAGUUCACGUGUGGCCUUGCCCAGAUGAAAGAAUGGAUGUGUCACACACUGUCAGUCACCAAACAGAAACCAAGGUGGAGUAAGGAACGUUGCAUUCUCCAUGUUUAGGUAAAUAAAAUUUUCAAUUUUUAUUCAGCAUUGUUAGCAAACAUAAGGCUUAAGGUAAACUCUGAGUCUGGUAGUUAGAUUGUUGCUUUAUUAUUUUCUUGUCAGAUUUUGGGGAUCAUUUUGGUUGUGUUUCCUCUUUAAUUGUAACGCAUAUUUUUAAAAAUGCAAUAAGGCUGCAUGCUAAUUGGACCUAAUGCUUUUGCUUUUGUCUCUCAUGACGUGUACAUGCGAAUAUUACGUGACCUGUUGUAUGCAAUCUUAUCUAGUCAUUCUGUGUUUAUGCCGCUAUCUCCGUCUGACAACUAUUGAUGAAUUGCUGCAGUUACUGCACCAUUAAACAAAUUUAAUGUAAACAUCA